CCGGGCGAGCUUAAAUGCAGUCGAACGCUGUAGCGUACUAUGUGGCAGACGGGAGAGUAACACCUGGGAACGUACCCUUCGGUGCGGAGUAGCUCAGGGAAACUUGUCGGUAUACCGGAUACGAUCGCCACGAUGAGAGAUUUAGUCGCACGAACGGAUCUGGCCCGCAGUCUGAUUAGCUAGUUGGUGAGGUAACGGCUCACCAAGGCGACGAUCACUAGCUGGUCUGAGACGAUGACCAGCCACAUUGGGACUGAGACACGGCCCACACUCCUACUGGAGGCAGCAGUGGGGAAUAUUGUACUAUGGGAGCGAGCCUGAUCCAGACUUGCCCCGUGAGUGAUGAAGGCCUUAGGGUUGUCAAGCUCUUUUACCCCGGACGAUAAUGAUGGUACCGGGAGAAUAACCCCAGGCUACCUUUUUGCCAGCAGCCGCCGUAAUACUAAGGGGGAUAGCGCUGCUCCUAUUUCCUGGGCGUCAACCGCACGUAUGCGGAUCAUUCAAGCUUAGUUGAGAUCCCUAGGCUCAACCUUGGACCUGCGCUUGCUAUUGGUGACCUCGAGACCGACAGAGGCGUAUGGAUCUGCGAGUCUUUAGGUCAAAUUCGCUUAUAUACACAUGAACACCACCGGCUAUGGCGGCUGCCUGUUCCUGACCUGACUCUGACGCGCAAAACCGUGUGCAGGAGCAACGAACUGAUAUCCUGGUCAUGCUCACGCCCGACAACGUAAGCUACCCCCUGGGAUUUCAUGCCCCUCUAUGCUCCCCCCUAUACUUUAAUCACCCAUCUGGGGGAGUAUGGUGUCACCAUUUAAA
rnacentral:rRNA from 1 species